GUAAGUACUGGUUCACACAGUUCGUUCCUUGGGUGCUCACUUGCUUUCUCUUUCUCCACAGGCAGCGGCGUAAGUACAAGUUUCCUCGGUCUCUCCUCGUGUUACCCACUCUCUCUCCUUUUCUCUCCACAGGUAUCAACUUGGGCACAAUAGCACAGUUAGUUUGCUUUUAAUGGCUCUCACCUCUGGGCUGGACACAGCGUACUGUAAGUACAGGGUUCGCUCUAUUCCUCCUCGUGUUAUUCACUCUCUCUCCUUUUCUCUCCACAGGUAUCAACUUGGGCACAAUAGCACAGUUAGUUUGCUUUGAAUGACUCUCACCUCUGGGCUGAACACAGCGUACUGUAAGUACAGGUUUCCUCUGUUUCU